rnacentral:hammerhead_ribozyme from 1 species
AUCCAGCUGAUGAGUCCCGAAUAGGACGAAACGCUCGUUUAACUGGAU